rnacentral:rRNA from 1 species
CAUGCAGGUCUAAGUAUAAGCCGAAAUAAAGUGAAACCGCGAAUGGCUCAUUACAUCAGUUAUGGUUCCUUAGAUCUCCGGUAUCCUACUUGGAUAACCCUGGAAAUUCUAGAGCUAAUACAUGCAAAUGUAGCCUCAACCCUCGUGGGAGAGGCGUUUUUGUUAGACUAAAACCAAUCGGGGAGCAAUCCCUGUUCAUUUGGUGAGUCUGAACAACUUUGAGCGGAUCGCACGGUCUUGUACCGGCGACAACUCUUUCAAAUGUCUGCCUUAUCAACUUGAUGGUAGGUUAUGUGCCUACCAUGGUGAUAACGGGUAACGGAGAAUCAGGGUUCGAUACCGGAGAGGGAGCCUGAGAAACGGCUACCACAUCCAAGGAAGGCAGCAGGCACGCAAAUUACCCACUCCCGGCACGGGGAGGUAGUGACGAAAAAUAACAAUACGGGACUCAUCCGAGGCCCCGUAAUUGGAAUGAGUACACUUUAAAUCCUUUAACGAGGAUCCAUUGGAGGGCAAGUCUGGUGCCAGCAGCCGCGGUAAUUCCAGCUGCAAUACAGUUGCGGACAGGUGGUUCACCUCACGGUGCUACUGCCUGGUCCGAACCUAUGGCUGGUUCCUCUGGGGUGCCCUUCACUGGGUGCUCCAGGAGACCAGAGCGUUUACUUUGAAAAAAUUGGAGUGCUUAAAGCAGGCGAACGCCUGUACAUUCGUGCAUGGAAUAAUGGAAAAGGGCCUCGGUGCUACUUUGUUGGUUCUCGGUACUCGAGGUAAUGGUUGAAAGGGACAGACGGGGGCAUUCGUAUUGCGACGUUAGAGGUGAAAUUCUUAGAUCGUCGCAAGACGGACUACUGCGAAAGCAUUUGCCAAGAAUGUUUUCAUUAAUCAAGAACGAAAGUCAGAGGUUCGAAGGCGAUCAGAUACCGCCCUAGUUCUGACCUUAAACGAUGCCAACUGGCGAUCCGUCGGGGGUAUUUCAAUGACCUGACGGGCAGCUUCCGGGAAACCAAAGUUUUUGGGUUCCGGGGGAAGUAUGGUUGCAAAGCUGGAACUUAAAGGAAUUGACGGAAGGGCACCACCAGGAGUGGAGCCUGUGGCUUAAUUUGACUCGCCCAGACACUAGUAGGAUUGACAGAUUGAGAGCUCUUUCUUGAUUUGGUGGAUGGUGGUGCAUGGCCGUUCUUAGUUGGUGGAGUGAUUUGUCUGGUUAAUUCCGAUAACGAACGAGACUCUGGCCUACUAAAUAGACGGCGGAUCUUUGUGUCCGUUCUGUCUUCUUAGAGGGAUAAGGCAGCUCGAAGCUGCGUGAAAAGGGGCAAUAACAGGUCUGUGAUGCCCUUAGAUGUUCUGGGCCGCACACGCGCUACACUGAAAGGGUCAGCGUGUUCUCCUGGCUCGAAAGAGCUGGGUAACCCGCGAAUCCCUUUCGUGCUGGGGAUUGAGGUUUGCAAUUGUCCUUCAUGAACGAGGAAUUCCCAGUAAGUGCAAGUCAUAAGCUUGCGCUGACUACGUCCCUGCCCUUUGUACACACCGCCCGUCGCUACUACCGAUUGAAUGAUUUAGUGAGGUCUUCGGACUGGGACCGGUGCAGCUUUCGGGCUGCGUUGGUAUUCCGGAAAGAUGCCCAAACUGAAUCAUUUAGAGGAAGUAAAAGUCGUAGCAAGGU